UACAGAGGUCUCAAGCGUUGUUCGGAUCCAUUGGGCGUAAAGGGUGUGUAGGUGGCGCCGUAAGUCGGGUGUGAAAUUUCGGAGCUUAACUCCGAAACUGCAUUCGAUACUGCGGUGCUUGAGGACUGGAGAGGAGACUGGAAUUCAUGGUGUAGCAGUGAAAUGCGUAGAGAUCAUGAGGAAGACCAGUGGCGAAGGCGGGUCUCUGGACAGUUCCUGACACUGAGACACGAAGGCCAGGGGAGCAAACGGG
rnacentral:rRNA from 1 species